AGCUUUGCGCAGUGGCAGUAUCGUAGCCAAUGAGGUUUAUCCGAGGCGCGAUUAUUGCUAACAGAAUUUACAUUGGGGUCCACUCCAAGUGUUGUACAAUGUCAUGUAUCCACUGUCAGAGUAUCACAUAUAAUGCUCUGAAAUACU
rnacentral:snRNA from 1 species